rnacentral:rRNA from 1 species
CGGGAUUACUCCUUACGGGUGGCAGCAGUGGGGAAUAUUGCCCCAAUGGGCGGAAGCCUGAUGCAGCAACGCCGCGUGCGGGAUGACGGCUUCGGGUUGUAAACCCGCUUUCGCCUGUGACGAAGCGUGAGUGACGGUAAUGGGUAAAGAAGCACCGGCUAACUACGUGCCAGCAGCCGCGGUGAUACGUAGGGUGCGAGCGUUGUCCGGAUUUAUUGGGCGUAAAGGGCUCGUAGGUGGUUGAUCGCCUCGGAAGUGUAAUCUUGGGGCUUAACCCUGAGCGUGCUUUCGAUACGGGUUGACUUGAGGAAGGUAGGGGAGAAUGGAAUUCCUGGUGGAGCGGUGGAAUGCGCAGAUAUCAGGAGGAACACCAGUGGCGAAGGCGGUUCUCUGGGCCUUUCCUGACGCUGAGGAGCGAAAGCGUGGGGAGCGAACAGGCUUAGAUACCCUGGUAGUCCACGCUGUAAACGGUGGGUACUAGGUCUGGGGUCCAUUCCACGGGUUCCGUGCCGUAGCUAACGCUUUAAGUACCCCGCCUGGGGAGUACGGCCGCAAGGCUAAAACUCAAAGGAAUUGACGGGAAUC